CGAACGGUAACAGGGAGCUUGCUCCGCUGACGAGUGGCGAACGGGUGAGUAAUGCAUCGGAACGUACCCAGUCGUAGGGGGAUAACGUAGCGAAAGUUACGCUAAUACCGCAUACGUCCUGAGGGAGAAAGCGGGGGGACCGUAAGGCCUCGCGCGAUUGGAGCGGCCGAUGUCGGAUUAGCUAGUUGGUAGGGUAAAGGCCUACCAAGGCGACGAUCCGUAGCGGGUCUGAGAGGAUGAUCCGCCACACUGGGACUGAGACACGGCCCAGACUCCUACGGGAGGCAGCAGUGGGGAAUUUUGGACAAUGGGCGAAAGCCUGAUCCAGCCAUGCCGCGUGAGUGAAGAAGGCCUUCGGGUUGUAAAGCUCUUUCAGGUGGAAAGAAAACGCAUAGGUUAAUACCUUGUGCGGAUGACGGUACCAUCAGAAGAAGCACCGGCUAACUACGUGCCAGCAGCCGCGGUAAUACGUAGGGUGCGAGCGUUAAUCGGAAUUACUGGG
rnacentral:rRNA from 1 species